rnacentral:lncRNA from 1 species
UACCAGCCCUGCGAUUGACGGUGGGAAGUCGGAGAGGAGUUCCAGCAGCUCUGGAUUGGCUAGAGGUGAAUCUGAGAGGAGUUUCCAGCCCUCUGAUAAGGGUAGGUGGAGGGCGGAGAGGAGUUUCCAGCCCUCUGAUAGGCUAGGUGGAGGUCUGAGAGGAGUUUCCAGCCCUCUGAAGGCUAGGGUGGAGGUCUGAGAGGCAGUUACCCAGCCCCGUGAGAGGCGAGGUGGGGGUCUGAGAGGAUUUCC